rnacentral:rRNA from 1 species
GAUCUAGCACAAAAAAACACCCAAGGACUAAAGCUAAAAAGCUAAAACUUAAAGGUUGUGGCGGCCUCACGAAAUCAGGGGAACUUACCAAGUAAACGAUACUCCUCGAGUUAAUCUUACUUUCCCUAAAAGCAUGUAUACCGCCGUCCGGUGACAAACUGAGUUUGUCACGAGACCUUUUUAGAAAAUGUCAGGUUAUGGUGCAGCCUAUGGGAAAGAUUAGGCGAGUUACAAUAAAACUUUUUUGCGGAUUUUAAUUUUAAAAAUUAACUUAAGUUGGACUUGAUUGUAAGUUUUAAUAGCGAUAUAAACUGAACCCGCCUCGUGUGGUGC